AGCAAUACCGCACUGAUAUGUGUAUGGAUCCCAAGCCUCUCGAAGGAUAAUAUAGCCACUCUAUACCCUACUCGGAUUAAAUACGUCCACGGCGCACAGAAUGGUAACAUAUCUCUCCAAAUAUCUGAGCUUGGGUAUACGGGGAAACCAAACCCCUUGGAAAAUUGGGUUACAUGGUCAAGUUGAGCGGA
rnacentral:ribozyme from 1 species